UACAGAGGUGGCAAGCGUUGUUCGGAAUUACUGGGCGUAAAGGGCGCGUAGGCGGUUCGUUAAGUCCUGUGUGAAAUCCCCCGGCUCAACUGGGGAACUGCACAGGAAACUAGCGGGCUUGAGUUCGGGAGAGGGUAGCGGAAUUCCGGGUGUAGCGGUGAAAUGCGUAGAUAUCCGGAGGAACACCGGUGGCGAAGGCGGCUUCCUGGACCGACACUGACGCUGAGGCGCGAAAGCUAGGGGAGCAAACGGG
rnacentral:rRNA from 1 species